rfam:Myotis brandtii contig129902, whole genome shotgun sequence.
AGGCCUGCAGAGAGAGAGGCAGAGUCUUUUCUGCAGCCUCAGUGGCAGCUGUUGAUCAGCUGUUGCCUCUCUCUUUCUCGCCA